AUUGACUCUCCUCCCUUUCGAUUCUUAGACUCCCUCUCGAAUCUCGAUAGCUGAGUUCCUUUCCGUUUGAAGUCGACUUUGACCACCACCACAAGCUCCUCUCAACUCUGACCACCACCUGACGGUCUAUCUCACAAAAGUGUUGGAUGUUUGGAUAAAAGAUUCAUGUUAUCAUUCUGUUGCAAGUAACAACCUUCAAGGCCAUCAAUCUUUCCUUGGGUGCAAGUGAGAGAGACAUAAAUGAGUUCUUUUCUUUUUCUGGUGAUGUUUUUUUUUUUACGUCGAAAUGAUGAGGUUGGGUGAUUGAUUUAGUUUAAUGGAUUUAUUGUCUUUCAUUAUCUUGGUCUGAAUCUGUCUUAUUGAAUGCUCCAUGUAGUGAUACUGAGCGGUCCCAAAUUGCAUAUGUUACCUUCAAAGAUGUACAAGGAAUUGAGACUGCAGUUCUCCUUUCGGUAAUGCAAUUUCUUUGACCAUCA